UACGUAGGGUGCAAGCGUUAUCCGGAAUUACUGGGCGUAAAGCGCACGUAGGCGGCUUGUUAAGUCAGGGGUGAAAUCCUGGAGCUCAACUCCAGAACUGCCUUUGAUACUGGCGAGCUUGAGUUCGGGAGAGGUGAGUGGAACUGCGAGUGUAGAGGUGAAAUUCGUAGAUAUUCGCAAGAACACCAGUGGCGAAGGCGGCUCACUGGCCCGAUACUGACGCUGAGGUGCGAAAGCGUGGGGAGCAAACAGG
rnacentral:rRNA from 1 species